UACGUAGGUGGCAAGCGUUGUCCGGAUUUACUGGGCGUAAAGAGCGCGCAGGCGGUUGGAUAAGUCGAAUGUGAAAGCCCCCGGCUUAACUGGGGAGGGUCAUUCGAUACUGUUCAACUUGAAGGCAGGAGAGGGCAGCAGAAUUCCCGGUGUAGUGGUGAAAUGCGUAGAUAUCGGGAGGAACACCAGUGGCGAAGGCGACUACCUGGCCUGUUCUUGACGCUGAGGCGCGAAAGCUAGGGGAGCAAACGGG
rnacentral:rRNA from 1 species